ACAAACUUGGUCAUUUAGAGGAAGUAAAAGUCGUAACAAGGUCUCCGUAGGUGAACCUGCGGAGGGAUCAUUACAGAGUUCAUGCCCUCCGGGUAGAUCUCCCACCCACUGCUAUCACUACUCUCGUUGCUUUGGCGGGCCGCUGGGCCCUGCCCGGCCGCCGGCCCCGGCUGGCGCGUGCCCGCCAGAGACCUCACAGACUCUGAAUGUUAGUGUCGUCCGAGUAACUAUACAAUCGUUAAAACUUUCAACAACGGAUCUCUUGGUUCUGGCAUCGAUGAAGAACGCAGC
rnacentral:misc_RNA from 1 species